AAUUUUUCUUUUUUUCCUGGCAAAGAACCCUUUUUUUUCUUUAAUUUUAAAUUCAAAUUUCCAUUUUAAAAUGUGUUUGUGUUGCGAUUGUCCAUCAUUCGAUUGUUGGCCCGAUAAGACAUGGUGUUUGUUCUUUGGAAUAUGGAACGGAUUCGUUGGCUUCAUCGGCUUGGUAUCAACAAGUAUCAUGUUAGACAAAGAAUUGGCCAAACCAAAAUCAACAAUCGACAUCGGUGAUUUUGGUAUUUUUGGUGUUUCAGACAAAUUUAAGAAUGAGACUAGAAACAAUACUACAGUUUGGCUCGAGGUUAUAAUACUCAUAUGUUGUAUAUUACACUUAUUGUCUGGGAUAUGUAUACUUUUGGGAUUGUUUUUGGAUAUGAAAAUUAUAUUCUCAUUCGGCAAAGGCAUGAGCCAUGUUUUGCCAUGGGUUGGGAUUUGCUCGAUAAUCUUACCAAUUGUGCAACUCAUAUGUUUAUUCAGAGUGUGCAGGUAUUAUAAAGGCAUGUGACGGCAGUGCACGGCACUGCGGCAAUUCCCACUCCAAAAAAGAAGAAGAAUCGUUCAAACGUUUGGCUAUAAUUUGGUUUCCUAUCCUUGCCCUGACAAAGGUGGCUUGCUGAUGUAUGACAAAAUUGAAGUAUUGAAAAUUUUUUCCGU